rnacentral:tRNA from 1 species
GCGCGAUUAGCUCAGUGGCAGAGCGUUCCGUUCACAUCGGAAAGGUCGCUGGUUCGAUCCCAGCAUCGCGCA